AUGGACGAGGAGAGGACGGAGGCGUGGUGGAGCCGACGCGCGUGGGCGCUGCUGUCGGCCGUCCGCGAGCGGGCGCCGCUGGUGCAGUGCACCACCAACCUCGUCUCCAUGGACAUCGCUGCCAACGUGCUCACCGCCGCCGGCGCCUCCCCCGCCAUGCUCCACUGCCUCCGCGAGAUCCCCGACUUCACCCCGCGCUGCGACGUUGUCUACAUCAACGUCGGUACCCUCUCCGAGGACUGGCUCCCCUCCAUGCGCGCCGCCGCCUCCGCCGGCCGCCCCUGGGUGCUCGACCCCGUCGCAGCUGCCGCCUCCGGAUUCCGGAUGGAGGCCUGCCUCGAGCUCCUCGCUCUCCGGCCCGCCGUCGUCAGGGGCAACGCGUCGGAGAUCCUCGCCCUCGCCGCCUCCUCGCUCUCCGACAGCUCCUCCUCCUUCAAGGGUGUGGACAGUUCACAUGACUCAGGGGAGGCCCUGCAAGCCGCGAAAGCAUUGGCACGGUCCAGCGGGUCAGUCAUUGCGGUAUCUGGAGCAGUUGAUUUCAUCACGGAUGGUCAGCAGGUCAUCAGUGCUAGCAAUGGUGUGGCAAUGAUGCAGAAGAUCACGGCGACAGGGUGUGCUGUGACUGCUCUUAUAGCGGCUUUUGUCGGGGCGGAUCCUUCAGAUGCUCUGGCCGCAGCGGCAUGUGCGCUCGCCAUCUUUGGACUCGCUGGAGAGAUUGGAAUGGAGUCGGCUAAAGGACCUGCCUCUCUCAGGACGCACCUCAUCGAUGCUCUCUACGGCCUCGAUGAGCAGACCGUCACAUCCCGUGACACAUCUCUACCGUGGUUACCAGUGUUUAGGAAAUAUACAGUCUGGGGUGAUCUGCAGGGUCCUGGAAAACCAUGA
rnacentral:rRNA from 1 species